UACGGAGGGGGCUAGCGUUGUUCGGAAUUACUGGGCGUAAAGCGCGCGUAGGCGGAUCUGCAAGUCGGGGGUGAAAUCCCGAGGCUCAACCUCGGAACUGCCUUCGAUACUGCGGGUCUCGAGUCCGGGAGAGGUGAGUGAAUUCCUAGUGUAGAGGUGAAAUUCGUAGAUAUUAGGAAGAACACCAGUGGCGAAGGCGGCUUACUGGUCCGGAACUGACGCUGAGGUGCGAAAGCGUGGGGAGCAAACAGG
rnacentral:rRNA from 1 species